UGUGGAGUUUCAUGCUGAAUAUUUGUAAGCAAAUAAAUAUUCCCUGUUCCUAAAGUAAGUGUUCAGUAGUUUAGCCAUAGCCAAAAAUCAUAAAUCAAUAGUAGGAACACAGUACAGGGAUGGAGACCUGGCCUAAGCUUUAAAAUGGUGAUUUAUUUUACUGUGUUAAGAAUGUUUUAGCGUUUAAUUUCAUACAUAAAGUAAAGCGGAGCAAAGCUCUUCAUCUCUAUGAUGUAUUUCAUCCAUCAAAAAGGUGUGGAGCACAAAUUAUUCUGUUAGGUCACCUCCAGAGAACUUAAGUAGCAAAAGUCCACUUCCAAGGACUGCAGUAACAUACACAGAGAUACAAGGGGAGAAGAACUAAGGUGUUCUUCACUGUGGAAGAACUAAGAUAUGAACUUUUAGGUACUUCCCAGGAAAUGCUGUAAGGAUGGAAAAGUUGUUAACAAGUCCUGCAUCCAGAGCACUCAUUCCUCAUCCUGUCAUUGCACAGGCAACAGCCUCAGUGCAGGUGAUGGGCCGGGAUGCACUCAGCUGUGAGGAGGAGGUACGGUUGGCUCCAGCCCCACAUGCCACAUACUGCACCCCAAAAACUGCCGUGGGAAAAUAGCAUCCAACAUUACAGCCUCAUCAAUUGACCUAAGAGUAUCCUUUGCUUUCAAUGCUUAUUAAAACAUGGUAGAGGAAAAGGAGAACACCUUUCUUAAUGGUUAGAAUACAGAAUUUCAUACCAGAUCGCACACAGUGCCACAAAAGCAUUCAUUUUUUUUCCAGAGUAUCAAUGGAUCAUUGCUUUCCUGAAGGAAAAUCUCUUCACCACUCCAUAUUUCAGUUUCCUGCCUGUAGAACUGGGAUAACAAUACCUAUGGCAAGCCUCAGAUAAAGAGCUUUUAGUAAUCAGUAUUGUAAUCCAUUUUCUUCUUAUUCUAUUUCCAGCUGUAUCAAUACAUUGUGGUAAUUAUUCACCAUCUAGCUCUUCUAAUUGAGUAAUAAAUAGUCCAGGAAGCAGGAGAUACA
rnacentral:lncRNA from 1 species